UUGUUGGAAGAGGUAGCAGCAACUGGCCCUCCCUCUUGAAGUAAAUCCUAAUUGUUGGGUUAAAUUUGCUAGGUGGCGCUAUACUCUACAAUGAUAGGGCAAGAAGCUGCUGUUGCAAUGGGAUCAAGGUUGAUAUAAGUGACCUUUUUGUGGAGAGAUAUACGCAUAAAGAGGGGCGCCCUCCUACCAUAGAGGUUCAAAGCCCUCUUACCACAAAGAUUAAGAUCUUGAUCGAAGCAAAGCUUGGUGGCCUUGUUUAAUAUCAUUGGAUAUAUUCAAUUGAAA